AAAGAGGCUUCCGAGGCGCAUGCUCGGUCUUGCUAGUACCGGCAGAUUGGAGACUGAUGAAUGUGAAACUGCCUCCCGCAGUGACCUGGUCCCUCACCAUGCUGACCGUGAUGCUCCCUGCUGAUCUCUUCCAUCCUAUCAGUGGGGGUGUGAUGGUAUGCAGGACCCUGUAUGAUCUACAUCACCUUACCUGGUCCACAUUGACUGCUUGUGUGAGGCAUGAUAAGAUUGAAUUUAAAGAUGGACUGACUUGUUAAACAGAGAUAGGGAGGGAACCUUGCUAUUGAAAGGGAGUGAUGCUGCUGCAUGUGGCUGUUGACUGGGCUGACCAGUUCCAGGCGCUGAAUCUGCUGCUGAAUGUGUGGAGAUGAUGAGACUGCACAGUGCUGGAGCUGCUGCCUGUCCUCCUGGCCUUCCUGACAAGAGUUGAUCAAGAGACAGAGGCUGAAGAGUGCCCCCCUCCAUGUGUAGCUGCUGUUGUGAAGCCAUGAUGUGUAGUGCUGGGCAUAAUCCAGUAUGAAACCAUGACAUGUACACUGUUGUGCCUAAUCCUAGGUCAAAGCAAACUGAUCUGAAUGUUGAAAACAUUAAACCUAGAUUACAGCA